GGGGUUGUGGCUCAGUGGUAGAGUGCUUGCCUGGCUCGUAAGAGAUACUGAGUUGGAUCCUCAGCACCA
rnacentral:tRNA from 1 species